UACGUAUGGUGCAAGCGUUAUCCGGAUUUACUGGGCGUAAAGGGAGCGCAGGCGGCGCGCCAAGUCUGAUGUGAAACCCCGGGGCUCAACCCCGGGCAUGCAUUGGAAACUGGCGGGCUGGAGUGCCGGAGAGGUAAGCGGAAUUCCUAGUGUAGCGGUGAAAUGCGUAGAUAUUAGGAGGAACACCAGUGGCGAAGGCGGCUUACUGGACUGUUACUGACGUUGAGGCUCGAAAGCGUGGGGAGCAAACAGG
rnacentral:rRNA from 1 species